UACGAAGGGGGCGAGCGUUGUUCGGAAUUACUGGGCGUAAAGAGCUCGUAGGCGGCUUGUCACGUCGGGUGUGAAAGCCCGGGGCUUAACCCCGGGUCUGCAUUCGAUACGGGCUAGCUAGAGUGUGGUAGGGGAGAUCGGAAUUCCUGGUGUAGCGGUGAAAUGCGCAGAUAUCAGGAGGAACACCGGUGGCGAAGGCGGAUCUCUGGGCCAUUACUGACGCUGAGGAGCGAAAGCGUGGGGAGCGAACAGG
rnacentral:rRNA from 1 species